UCUUGGUCUGGGACAACUGUUGGAAACGACAGCUAAUACCGGAUAUUAUGAGAUUCUCGCAUGGGAAACUUAUGAAAGCUAUAUGCGCCAAGAGAGAGCCUUGCGUUCCAUUAGCUAGUUGGUGGGGUAACGGCCCACCAAGGCGACGAUGGAUAGCCGGCCUGAGAGGGUGAACGGCCACAAGGGGACUGAGACACGGCCCUUACUCCUACGGGAGGCAGCAGUGGGGAAUAUUGGACAAUGGGCCACAAGCCUGAUCCAGCAAUUCUGUGUGCACGAUGAAGGUCUUCGGAUUGUAAAGUGCUUUCAGUUGGGAAGAAGAAAGUGACGGUACCAACAGAAGAAGCGACGGCUAAAUACGUGCCAGCAGCCGCGGUAAUACGUAUGUCGCAAGCGUUAUCCGGAUUUAUUGGGCGUAAAGCGCGUCUAGGCGGAAAAAUAAGUCUGAUGUUAAAAUGCGGGGCUCAACUCCGUAUUGCGUUGGAAACUGUUUUUCUAGAGUACUGGAGAGGUGGGCGGAACUACAAGUGUAGAGGUGAAAUUCGUAGAUAUUUGUAGGA
rnacentral:rRNA from 1 species